rnacentral:rRNA from 1 species
UGAAUACGAGAUGCUACGGCGUCGAAGCAGUCUAUGUCAUACUUCCAAGAAAAGCUUGCACUGUCAUAAACAAAUAAUGCCUGUACCAUAACCGACACAGGUGGGUAGGUAGAGUAUACUAAGGGGCGCGAGAUAACUCUCUCUAAGGAACUCGGCAAAAUGACUCCGUAACUUCGGGAGAAGGAGUGCCUUAUUUAUAAGGUUGCAAUAACAAGAUCCAAGCAACUGUUUACCAAAAACACAGGUCUCCGCUAAGUCGUAAGACGAUGUAUGGGGGCUGACGCCUGCCCAGUGCCAGAAGGUUAAAGAAGUUGGUUAGCAUCCGCGAAGCUGAUAACUGAAGCCCUGGUGAACGGCGGCCGUAACAAUAACGGUCCUAAGGUAGCGAAAUUCCUUGUCGGGUAAGUUCCGACCCGCACGAAAGGCGUAAUGAUUUGGAUACUGUCUCGGAGAGGGGCUCGGUGAAAUAGACUUGUCUGUGAAGAUGCGGACUACCUGCACCAGGACAGAAAGACCCUAUGAAGCUUUACUGUAACCUGAAAUUGAAAUUGGACUUUACUUGCGCAGUAUAGGUGGGAGGCGUUGAGAAUAUUCUUGCGGGAUUAUUGGAGCCAUCAGUGAGAUACCACUCUUGUAAUGUUAGAUUUCUAACUUUGUAUCAUUAUCUGGUCAAAGAACAGUUUCAGGCGGGCAGUUUGACUGGGGCGGUCGCCUCCUAAACGGUAACGGAGGCGCACAAAGGUUUCCUCUGAACGGGUAGAAAUCGUAUCUAGAGUGUAAAGGCAUAAGGAGGCUUGACUGUGAGACCUACAAGUCGAGCAGGGACGAAAGUCGGUCUUAGUGAUCUGACGGUGCUGAGUGGAAAGGCCCUCACUCAACGGAUAAAAGUUACUCUAGGAUAACAGGCUGAUCUCCCCCAAGAGUUCACAUCGACGGGGAGGUUUGGCACCUCGAUGUCGGCUCAUCGCAUCCUGGGGCGGUAGUACGUCCCAAGGGUUGGGCUGUUCGCCCAUGAAAGCGGUACGCGAGCUGGGUUCAGAACGUCGUGAGACAGUUCGGUCCAUAUCCGGUGUAGGCGUUAGAAUAUUGAGAGGAGCCUUCUUUAGUACGAGAGGACCGAGAAGGACAUACCUCUGGUGUACCAGUUAUCGUGCCAACGGUAAACGCUGGGUAGCUAUGUGUGGAGUGGAUAACCGCUGAAAGCAUCUAAGUGGGAAGCCCACCUCAAGAUAAGUAUUCUCGU